rnacentral:rRNA from 1 species
GACGAACGCUGGCGGCGUGCUUAACACAUGCAAGUCGAGCGGUAAGGCCCUUUCGGGGGUACACGAGCGGCGAACGGGUGAGUAACACGUGGGUGACCUGCCCUCAGCUCUGGGAUAAGCCUGGGAAACCGGGUCUAAUACUGGAUAUGACUCCAUGACGCAUGUUGUGGGGUGGAAAGCCUUGUGCGGCUGAGGAUGGGCCCGCGGCCUAUCAGCUUGUUGGUGGGGUGAGGCCUACCAAAGGCGACGACGGGUAGCCGGCCUGAGAGGGCGACCGGCCACACUGGGACUGAGACACGGCCCAGACUCCUACGGGAGGCAGCAGUGGGGAAUCUUGCGC